rnacentral:rRNA from 1 species
UACGAAGGGGCUAGCGUUGCUCGGAAUCACUGGGCGUAAAGGGUGCGUAGGCGGGUCUUUAAGUCAGGGGUGAAAUCCUGGAGCUCAACUCCAGAACUGCCUUGAUACUGAAGAUCUUGAGUUCGGGAGAGGUGAGUGGAACUGGCGAGUGUAGAGGUGAAAUUCGUAGAUAUUCGCAAAGAACACCAGUGGCGAAGGCGGCUCACUGGCCCGAUACUGACGCUGAGGCACGAAAGCGUGGGAGC